rnacentral:tRNA from 1 species
CAACGACUGGACCGCGGGAUGCAUCGCGGUGAAGGACCGCGAGAUGGAAGAGAUCUAUUCCAUGGUUCGGCUCGGGACCGAGAUCGUCAUC